rnacentral:tRNA from 1 species
UGGGGCGUGGCCAAGUGGUAAGGCAGUGGGUUUUGAUCCCGUUACUCGGAGGAUCGAAUCCUUCCAUCCCAG